GCGUUCAGCACGGUUUGGCCGUGUACUGGCUGAGGUAGUAGUUUGUGCUGUUGGUUGGGAUGUGACAUUGCCCGUUAUGGAGAUGACUGCGCAAGCUACUCCCUUGCCAGUGCUGGUUACACUCUUCCCAAGCUGGA
rnacentral:precursor_RNA from 8 species